ACGCUCGACACCUACGGGAGGCAGCAGUGGGGAAUAUUGCACAAUGGGGGAAACCCUGAUGCAGCGACGCCGCGUGGAGGAAGAAGGUCUUCGGAUUGUAAACUCCUGUUGUUGGGGAAAAAAGAGGAUGGUACCCAACAAGGAAGUGACGGCUAACUACGUGUCAGCAGCCGCGGUAAUCUGAGCGGGCUGGCAAGGC
rnacentral:rRNA from 1 species